rnacentral:lncRNA from 1 species
GAGCAUCUGUAGAUGAAUCACAGAAGCUUUAACCGAUCUUCACGUAUGCUCAGCUGCUGAGGGGAGGGGCAGCAGCCACACUUCUCCCUGCUUUCUCCCUGCAGAGCCAGGGUCUCCCCGCACUUGGCACUGAACCGUGAGGCUCCAGCCUCAGUAGGGACUCGCCAGCCUCUCAGGCCUGUGGCCCCCUUGUUCCCUUAUCUUCCUUACAGGCCACUUGUGCUGUGUCACCUCCAGACUGUUUCAGAGGCACGCAAGCCGGAAGUCCCCAGGCUGUGUGUAGGACGUCGGUCAGAGCAGGGGCAGCCAAUUAAGAGGUUAGAAGAGGCUGGGCAGUGGUGACCCAUACCUUUAAUUCCAGCACUUGGGAGGCAGAGGCAGACGGAUUUCUGAUUCGAGGCUAGCCUGGUCUACAGAGGGAGUUCCAGGACAGCUAGGGCUACACAGAGAAACCCUGUCUCGACACCCCCCCCCCAAAAAAAAGAGGUUAGAAGAGGAAAGGAGGCAAUGGUGGAGGAGCGGAAGAAAGGAGGGGAGUGGUGGGAUCCAGCAUAGCCUGUAUGAGCCGGAAAGUAGGAGUCUUGUCAUCGCCAGCAAGCCUGUCUCACAUUCUCAACCUCACUAGCAUCCUCAUCUCGGAACUUGACUUAGUUGCUUCCUCUUCCCAAACUAAAAUUAAUCUCUUGGGUUUUUUGCUUCCUUUGACCACAGAGGCAAUGGCUCAUCUGAGUUGUGACCUGUAAUGACCCAGGUCUUAUCCACCCAGAUCAUGACUUCUGGGCAUGCGUCGACAUCCUGUCCAGGUGGCACAGCCAGCGCAGCAGCUUCCGACUGGCCUUCUCUCCCUGUGGAACUCCCAGGGUACUUCAGCUGUGGCCAGCUCUCAGUGAGGAGGAAGAAGGAAGAAGAAACAGAUGCAAAGACAGCCUAGGGGUGUGGCUCAGAGGUCCCAGGUUCAAGUCUCAGUACCGCAGAAGUAUAAGAACAGAGCAAAACAAAACAACAACAACAACAGCAAAACAGCUGCAGAAAACAAGGGGGGGACACACCUGCUCCACAACUGCAGAGGAAGUAACUUCCAUGUCUGAUUUUCUGCCUUGAGCUAGCUUGAACUGGUCUCCAUUCCUUUCAAACAAGUGGUUGGACUUUCUCACUUAGACUAAUCCAAAUGUGACUACAGCCUGCCUACCUUAAUAACCCAACUGAAGAGUGCUGGUGGCUUGUGACUUUAAUCCCAGCACUUGGGAGGUAGAGACAGGUGGAUCUCUGAGUUGGAGGCCAGUCUAGUCUGUGGUUCACAGAGGGAGUUCCAGAAUAGCCAAAGAAACCCUGUCUCAAAGAGCCAAGGACCCAAAGAGCC